UCCUGGGUGGCUCAGUUGGUAAAGUGUCUGAUUUCAACUCAGGUCAUGAUCUCACAGUCUGUGGGUUCAAGCCCGCAUCAGGAU
rnacentral:tRNA from 1 species